rnacentral:rRNA from 1 species
GAUGAACGCUGGCGGCGUGCCUAAUACAUGCGAGUCGAGCGAACAGAUAAGGAGCUUGCUCCUUUGACGUUAGCGGCGGACGGGUGAGUAACACGUGGGUAACCUACCUAUAAGACUGGGAUAACUUCGGGAAACCGGAGCUAAUACCGGAUAACAUUUGGAACCGCAUGGUUCUAAAGUGAAAGAUGGUUUUGCUAUCACUUAUAGAUGGACCCGCGCCGUAUUAGCUAGUUGGUAAGGUAACGGCUUACCAAGGCAACGAUACGUAGCCGACCUGAGAGGGUGAUCGGCCACACUGGAACUGAGACACGGUCCAGACUCCUACGGGAGGCAGCAGUAGGGAAUCUUCCGCAAUGGGCGAAAGCCUGACGGAGCAACGCCGCGUGAGUGAUGAAGGGUUUCGGCUCGUAAAACUCUGUUAUUAGGGAAGAACAAAUGUGUAAGUAACUGUGCACGUCUUGACGGUACCUAAUCAGAAAGCCACGGCUAACUACGUG